rnacentral:rRNA from 1 species
AAUAUUGGACAAUGGGGGCAACCCUGAUCCAGCGACGCCGCGUGUGUGAAGAAGGCCUGCGGGUUGUAAAGCACUUUUAGUGGGGAUGAAAAGCACACUCUUAAUACUGGUGUGUCUUGACCUAACCCAAAGAAAAAGCACCGGCUAACUCUGUGCCAGCAGCCGCGGUAAUACAGAGGGUGCGAGCGUUAAUCGGAAUUACUGGGCGUAAAGCGUGCGUAGACGGUUAUUUAAGUCGGGUGUGAAAGCCCCGGGCUCAACCUGGGAAUUGCAUUCGAGACUGAAUAGCUAGGGUACGGUAGAGGGAAGUGGAAUUUCCGGUGUAGCGGUGAAAUGCGUAGAUAUCGGAAGGAACAUCAGUGGCGAAAGCGACUUCCUGGACCAGUACCGACGUUCAGGCACGAAAGCGUGGGGAGCAAACAGGAUUAGAUACCCUGGUAGUCCACGCCAUAAACGAUGAGGACUAGACGUUGGAGGCGUAAGGCUUUCAGUGUCGUAGCUAACGCG